CAGUGCCUGAGAUGCACGAUACCUUCAAUAUGUCCAACCUACUUUUUUGAAAAGGGAAUCGGAUGUUUUGUAGCUGCUGGACCGUCUUGAACGGAUAGCAAAACCAAAACUAUGAUGCCCACCUGCUGGGUUGCAGGUUUGGACAUAACGAAGGGCGGCAUUACGGGCAAAAG
rnacentral:other from 1 species